ensembl:lncRNA
UAAACAAUACAAAUCUUUUUAAUUCACUGACAACUUUGGUUUCCUACAUGUAACAUCACAUCAUGUACGUAACUGUCGUAGUAUCUAACAUCACAUCAUGUAUGUAACUGUCGUAGUAUGUAACAUCACAUCAUGUAUGUAACUGUAGUAGUAUGUAACAUCACAACAUGUAUGUAACUGUCGUAGUAUGUAACAUCACAUCAUGUAUGUAACUGUAGUAGUAUGUAACAUCACAACAUGUAUGUAACAUCACAUCAUGUAUGUAACUGUAGUAGUAUGUAACAUCACAACAUGUAUGUAACAUCACAUCAUGUAUGUAACAUCACAUGUAUGUAACUGUAGUAGUAUGUAACAUCACAUCAUGUAUGUAACUGUAGUAGUAUGUAACAUGUAUGCAACUUUAGUAGUAUGUAACAUUAUGUAUGUAACUGUAAUAGUAUGUAACAUGUAUGUAACUUUAGUAGUAUGUAACAUGUAUGUAACAUUAUGUAUGCAACUGUAGUAGUAUGUAACAUCACAUCAUGUAUGUAGCAGCAUGUAUGUAACUGUAGUAGUAUGUAACAUGUAUGUAACAUCACGUAUGUAACUGUAGUAGUAUGUAACAUCACGUAUGUAACUGUAGUAGUAUGUAACAUCAUGUAUGUAACUGUAGUAGUAUGUAACUGUAGUAGUAUGUAACAUGUAUGUAACAUCACGUAUGUAACUGUAGUAGUAUGUAACAUCACGUAUGUAACUGUAGUAGUAUGUAACAUCAUGUAUGUAACUGUAGUAGUAUGUAACAUCACAUAAUGUAUGUAACUGUAGUAGUAUGUAACAUCAUGCAUGUAACUGUAGUAGUAUGUAACAUGUAUGUAACUGUAGUAGUAUGUAACAUCACAUAUGUAACUGUAGUAGUAUGUAACAUCACAUAUGUAACUGUAGUAGUAUGUAACAUCAUGUAUGUAACUGUAGUAGUAUGUAACAUCUACGUAACUGUAGUAGUAUGUAACAUGUACGUAACUGUAGUAGUAUGUAACAUGUAUGUAACUGUAGUAGAAUGUAACAUCACAUAUGUAACUGUAGUAGUAUGUAACAUCAUGUAUGUAACUGUAGUAGUAUGUAACAUGUACGUAACUGUAGUAGUAUGUAACAUGUACGUAACUGUAGUAGUAUGUAACAUGUAUGUAACUGUAGUAGUAUGUAACAUCAUGUAUGUAACUGUAGUAGUAUGUAACAUCACAUAUGUAACUGUAGUAGUAUGUAACAUCAUGUAUGUAACUGUAGUAGUAUGUAACAUCACAUCAUGUAUGUAAUUGUAGUAGUAUGUAACAUGUAUGUAACUGUAGUAGAAUGUAACAUCAUGUAUGUAACUGUAGUAGUAUGUAACAUCACAACAUGUAUGUAACUGUUGUAGUAUGUAACAUCACAACAUGUAUGUAACUGUAGUAGUAUGUAACAUCACAACAUGUAUGUAACUGUAGUAGUAUGUAACAUCACAACAUGUAUGUAACUGUGGUAGUAUGUAACAUCACAUAUGUAACUGUAGUAGUAUGUAACAUCACAUCAUGUAUAUAACUGUGGUAGUAUGUAACAUCACAUAAUGUAUGUAACUAGUAGUAUGCAACAUCACAUAUGUAACUGUAGUAGUAUGUAACAUCACAUCAUGUAUAUAACUGUGGUAGUAUGUAACAUCACAUAAUGUAUGUAACUGUAGUAGUAUGCAACAUCAUGUAUGUAACUGCAGUAAUAUGUAAAUGUAGUAAUAUGUAACAUCAUGAAUGUAACAUGUAUGUAACUGUAGUAGUAUGUAACAUCACAUAAUGUAUGUAACUGUAGUAGUAUGUAACAUCACGUAUGUAACUGUAGUAGAAUGUAACAUCAUGCAUGUAACUGUAGUAGAAUGUAACAUGUAUGUAACUGUAGUAGUAUGUAACAUGUAUGUAACUGUCGUAGAAUGUAACAUCACAUAUGUAACUGUAGUAGUAUUUAACAUCAUGUAUGUAACUGUAAUAGUAUGUAACAUCACAACAUGUAUGUAACUGUUGUAGUAUGUAACAUCACAACAUGUAUGUAACUGUAGUAGUAUGUAACAUCACAACAUGUAUGUAACUGUAGUAGUAUGUAACAUCACAACAUGUAUGUAACUGUAGUAGUAUGUAACAUCACAACAUGUAUGUAACUGUAGUAGUAUGUAACAUCACAUCAUGUAUGUAACUGUGGUAGUAUGUAACAUCACAUCAUGUAUGUAACUGUAGUAGUAUGUAACAUGUA